rnacentral:rRNA from 1 species
CCUACGGGGGGCUGCAGUGGGGAAUAUUGCGCAAUGGGCGAAAGCCUGACCGAGCGACGCCGCGUGGAUGAUGAAGGCCUUCGGGUUGUAAAAUCCUGUCGAGGGGGAUCAAGGGCAACUUGAGUGAUCCCUGGAGGAAGCACGGGCUAAGUUCGUGCCAGCAGCCGCGGUCAGACGAACCGUGCAAACGUUAUUCGGAAUCACUGGGCAUAAAGGGCGCGUAGGCGGCUUUCUAAGUCAGGGGUGAAAUCCGGCAGCUCAACUGUCGCAGUGCCUUUGAUACUGGAGAGCGCGAGGGAGGUAGGGGUCUGUGGAACUUCCGGUGGAGCGGUGAAAUGCGUUGAUAUCGGAAGGAACGCCGGUGGCGAAAGCGACGGACUGGAUCUCUUCUGACGCUGAGGCGCGAAAGCCAGGGGAGCAAACGGGAUUAGAUACCCCAGUAGUC